GACGAACGCUGGCGGCGUGCUUAACACAUGCAAGUCGAACGGAAAGGCCCUGCUUUUGUGGGGUGCUCGAUUGGCGAACGGGUGAGUAACACGUGAGUAACCUGCCCUUGACUUUGGGAUAACUUCAGGAAACUGGGGCUAAUACCGCAUAGGAGCUCCUGCUGCAUGUGGGGGGUUGGAAAGUUUCGGCGGUUGGGGAUGGACUCGCAGCUUACCAGCUGGUUGGUGGGGUAGUGGCUUACAAAGGCUUUGACGGGUAGCCUGCAUGGGAGGGGUGACGGCCACCUUGCGCCUGCGGUACGGCCCAGAAUCCUACGGGCGGCAGCAGUGGGGAAUAUUACAGAGUGGGGGGACGCCUGAUGCAAAAACGCCGCGUGCGGGAUGACGGCCUUCGAGUUGUAAACCGAUUUCGAAUGUGACGAAGCGUGCGUGACGGUAAUGGGUCAAGAAGCACCGGCUAACUACGUG
rnacentral:rRNA from 1 species